AUACCUUAUAUGUAAUCACAGCAGUCAGGCGGCGAGUGAUAAAAUCCGUCGUCAAGAGGGAAACAACCCAGACUACCAGCUAAGGUCCCUAAAUCUUACUUAAGUGGAAAACGAUGUGAAGUUACUUAAACAACCAGGAGGUUGGCUUAGAAGCAGCCAUCCUUUAAAGAAAGCGUAAUAGCUCACUGGUCUAGUGAUUUUGCGCGGAAAAUAUAACGGGGCUAAAGUAAGUACCGAAGCUGUAGACUUAGUUUACUAAGUGGUAGGAGAGCGUUCUAUUUGCGUCGAAGGUAUACCGGUAAGGAGUGCUGGAGCGAAUAGAAGUGAGCAUGCAGGCAUGAGUAGCGAUAAUUAAUGUGAGAAUCAUUAACGCCGUAAACCCAAGGUUUCCUACGCGAUGCUCGUCAUCGUAGGGUUAGUCGGGUCCUAAGUCGAGUCCGAAAGGGGUAGACGAUGGCAAAUUGGUUAAUAUUCCAAUACCAACAUUAGUGUGCGAUGGAAGGACG
rnacentral:rRNA from 1 species